GGCAAUGUAGGGAGACUGGCGCGGCAGAAACCCUGUUGUGACUUAUACCUUACUGUUGCCUCGGCGCAUGCUGGCCCCCCCUGGGGGUCCCUCGGAGACGAGGAGCAGGCACGCCGGCGGCCAAGUUAACUCUUGUUUUUACACUGAAACUCUGAGAAAAAAACACAAAUGAAUCAAAACUUUCAACAACGGAUCUCUUGGUUCUGGCAUCGAUGAAGAACGCAGCGAAAUGCGAUAAGUAAUGUGAAUUGCAGAAUUCAGUGAAUCAUCGAAUCUUUGAACGCACAUUGCGCCCUCUGGUAUUCCGGAGGGCAUGCCUGUUCGAGCGUCAUUUCAACCCUCAAGCAUUGCUUGGUGUUGGGGCACUGCCUUUUAAACGGGCAGGCCCUGAAAUCUAGUGGCGAGCUCGCCAGGACCCCGAGCGCAGUAGUUAAACCCUCGCUCUGGAAGGCCCUGGCGGUGCCCUGCCGUUAAACCCCCAACUCUUGAAAAUUUGACCUCGGAUCAGGUAGGAAUACCCGC
rnacentral:rRNA from 1 species